GCACCAUGCUAUGCGCCUCCACCUCCUUUUCCAAUUCUCGUGACACCCAGCCUUCUCCCUUCCUCUCUGUCUCCAGAAACUCUGUCCAACGAAUGAUGCACCAUGGAUACCAAUUCUCCAUCCGGUUGAUGCAGGCCCUCCCCAUCCGUGCCCUUGCGCCAGAAGGUUCCCCUCGACACCAUGAUUCCAUUCAGGGAAGAAGGAACGCGAUCCGUCAAGCACACACGAAGAAUUAUGCAUGUCCGCGUACACUGUUCAUCAAGUUCGUCGCAUUGUUCCAUCAAACUCGAGUUCCAUGAAGACGAAGGUGAUGACUACGACUACUAUGGCGAUCUAUAGGAGUGAGGUCACGUGGACUACAUCGACUGCCUGUGGCUGAGAUGGAGUCACUACGCAUUUUACUUUCCGCUGUUUUCUGAUUGUAAAUGUCAUGAGACAUCUCACUAGGUAUGUCUUGUGACAAAUAUACUACUUGUAAUUAUUUUACGUAUUCUGCAAUGAUAUCAUUUCGCUAUGUUGUCAACAA